UAAGCGGAGGAAAAGAAACUAACAAGGAUUCCCCUAGUAACUGCGAGUGAAGCGGGAAAAGCUCAAAUUUAAAAUCUGGCAGUUUCACUGUCCGAGUUGUAAUCUGGAGAAGCAUUUUCCGCGUCGGACCGUGUACAAGUCUCUUGGAAUAGAGCGUCAUAGAGGGUGAGAAUCCCGUCCAUGACACGGACCACCGAUGCUUUGUGAUAUGCUCUCGAAGAGUCGAGUUGUUUGGGAAUGCAGCUCAAAAUGGGUGGUAGAUUCCAUCUAAAGCUAAAUAUUGGCGAGAGACCGAUAGCGAACAAGUACCGUGAGGGAAAGAUGAAAAGCACUUUGGAAAGAGAGUUAAACAGUACGUGAAAUUGUUGAAAGGGAAACGCUUGAAGUCAGUCGCGUUGUCUGAGACUCAGCCUUGCUUUGCUUGGUGUACUUCUUAGUUAACGGGUCAACAUCAAUUUUGGUUGGUGGAUAAAGGCUUAGGGAAUGUGGCACCUUCGGGUGUGUUAUAGACCUUUGCUGCAUACACUGACUGGGAUUGAGGAUCGCAGCACGCCAUUAUGGCCGGGGGUUCGCCUCACGUAACGUGCUUAGGAUGUUGGCAUAAUGGCUUUAAGCGACCCGUCUUGAAACACG
rnacentral:rRNA from 1 species